AAAUUGAAGAGUUUGAUCAUGGCUCAGAUUGAACGCUGGCGGCAGGCCUAACACAUGCAAGUCGAACGGUAACAGGAAGCAGCUUGCUGCUUUGCUGACGAGUGGCGGACGGGUGAGUAAUGUCUGGGAAACUGCCUGAUGGAGGGGGAUAACUACUGGAAACGGUAGCUAAUACCGCAUAACGUCGCAAGACCAAAGAGGGGGACCUUAGGGCCUCUUGCCAUCGGAUGUGCCCAGAUGGGAUUAGCUAGUAGGUGGGGUAAAGGCUCACCUAGGCGACGAUCCCUAGCUGGUCUGAGAGGAUGACCAGCCACACUGGAACUGAGACACGGUCCAGACUCCUACGGGAGGCAGCAGUGGGGAAUAUUGCACAAUGGGCGCAAGCCUGAUGCAGCCAUGCC
rnacentral:rRNA from 1 species